UACAAAUCCAUUUGAUCAUUG
rnacentral:piRNA from 1 species